GUUUGUGUUGGUAAAGUCAACGAACUCAUCUUUUUCCAAGACAUCAAACUCAUCUUCUUCCUUGAGAGAUAACAUAGAAAUUAGGGUUCCAUCAUCCCCCCUCAAGUUGGCGUCCGAUGAUCGGAUACCUAACUUGCCCAAAAAAUGAUGAUGCAAAGGCCCAGCCAAGGCUUUGGUGAAUAAAUCUGCUAGUUGGGAGGUUGAAGGAACAAAGAACAGAGAAAUGAGUCUAUCGAGAAGUUUUUCACGAAUGAAAUGGCAAUCAAGUUUGAUGUGCUUGGUUCAUUCGUGAAAAACUGGAUUUUUUGCAAUGUGAAUGACGGAUUGGUUGUCACAAUGCAAAGAAACCAGAAGAGAAGGGGAUAUAUACUCUAAGGUCAAAGAAAAGAAAAAUAAUCCAUGAUAUCUCUGCGACAAGACUCCUUAUUGAAACAACGGGAUGUUUCUUGGAUUUCCAAGAUAUCGGUGAACCACCAAGAAGUAUGUAAAAGCCACUCGCGGAAUGGCGAGUAGAAUAGCAAGAGGCCCAAUCGGCGUUGCGAUAUCCAAGAAUUUGAAGAGACGGUGAAGAAUUCAUGAAAAGACCCAAACUUGGGUCACGUCUCAAAUACCGGAGAGCGUGAAAAGCUGCUUGAAGAUGUACAGAUCUUGGGGAGUGCAUAUAUUGACUGAGUGUUUGAACGGCAUAAGAGAGGUUCGGUCGUGUGUGUGUCAAAAAAUUGAGUUGUCCUAAGAGUCUCCGAUAGAUGGUAGGAUUAGAUAAUAACUCACCUGAGUCCAUGGUGAGCUUAAGAGUCAGGUCCAUGGGAGUCGAAGCCGAAUGGGUAGAAAGAUCUGGGUGUUCCAACAAAAGAUCCUUGGAAAAUUUACGUUGCGUUACAAUCAAACCCUUUGGUAAAGGUUGUUGACAUAGAUAGGUAAGACUGUAACAAGACUGCCACAGGACUUGUAAAACAACGAGUAAUCAUUCAAAGAUGAAACGAAUCCAUGAGUCCCUAGAGCUACAGAUAAUCUGGCGUACCACUAGCGUAAAGCUUGUUUGAGCCAGUAAAGGGACUUUCUCAAAUGGCAAACAUGAGAGGGAGAAGGUGAUGUCAAUCGCGGAGGAAAUUUCAUGAAGACCUCCUCGUCCAAAUCACCAUGUAAGAAGCCGUUAUCUACAUCCAGUUGAAACAAAGGCCAACUGUUCUUGACUGCAAUAGCAAGAAUGGAUCUAAUGGUAGUCAUCUUCACGACUGGGCAGAGGCAAAGAAACUACCUCCUAAGUGGAGUUGGAGAUGAAGGCCUGGAGUUCAUUUUCCAUGGCAAGAACCCAACCAGGAUCAAUUACUGCCUUCAGGCAAGAAACUGGCUCUCUAAUCUUGUCAAUAGAUGAUAUUUAAAUAUUGAUUGUUAAUACUUAGAAAGAAUGAAAAAAAGAAUGAAGAGACAAAGUAGGAGUGUUAGAAGAAAUCACAAAAAAAUUAGUUUCAUAAAUAAAAUCAGACAAAUAUGAAGAAAAAACGAUUUCCUAGUGGUCCUGCGCAGGCCCUGCACUGUAGAUGACACAUCCAUAGGAUUAGUGGAGAGAUUAGGUGGAGAAGAAGAUGGUGAAGUGGUAGGUUGAGUGCUAGGUUUAGAACUAGCAAAUGCAGGAUUGAUGGUGGAUGAAGGUGGAGAUGGAGUGUUGUUAGUGGAUGGAGAGGAGAGUGAAGAUUCUUGUGUUUUAGAUUGGGUUAAAUCCUCAAAAGAGAGGGGUUUAGUUGAUUUGAAAGACCCUGGAAAUAAUUUAGACAUACGAACUGAGUGUGCAAAAGGGAAUAAAGACUCAUAAAACUUGACAUUUCUGCUUAUAAUGACCUGUUUAUUUAGUAGAUUUAGCACCUUGUAACCCUUUUUUCCAAAAGGGUAACCUAAAAAAAUUCCAGGAAUUGCCCUAGGUGAAAGUUUAUCUCUGUUGUGAGGCAACGUGGAAACAAAACAUAAGCAACCAAAAGUUUUAAGAUGAGCGUAAGAGGGAGGUUUUUGAAAAAGUUUAUCAUAAGAUGAACUGUGUUGAAGAACUUUGGAAGGAAAAAGACUAAUGAUAUGAGUUGCUGUCAACAAUGCUCCCCCCUCCCCCUCCCAGUAUCUAGGUUGUAAAUGAGACUGAUACAUAAGAGCUCUACACACCUCUAAUAAAUGUUUGUGUUUUCUUUCAGCUGCCCCAUUUUGUUGAGGGGUAGCAAUAUAGGAUGUUUGAUGCAUAAUUCCUUGGGAAGAAAAAAAUUCAGUUGUAAGAUUCCCAGACUCUAGUUCAUAGGCAUUAAUUGACCUUAUCACUUUCACUUUCUCACUUUCUUGGAAAAUUAUCUCUCAGUAUAAGCUAAGAAAGAUUUCAAAAUGGGGAAGGCAUUGGAUUUAGUGGAUAAAAGAUAAGUCCAAGUUGUUCUAGAGAAAUCAUACACAAUAGUUAGGAAAUAUUUUUCGCCUUUAUAUGUUUGAGUCUUGUAGGGUCCCCAAAUGUCUAUAUGGUCCCCAAGUGUCUAUAUGUAUCAUUUCAAAAUACUCAUGUAUAGAAAUGUUACUUUUGGAAAAUGAUAAUUUAGAUUGUCUGGCCAUGGGGCAAAUAUCACAAGGAAACUGCGAUGUCUUAGAAUGAGAGACUGAAAUUCCGGUAAUUUUCUUCAUACUAUCAUAAGGUAAAUGUCCCAAUCUAUAGCCAAAGCUUGAAGGAAUCAAAAUUUUCAGAAACUGUGCUCAUUUCAUUAAUAGGAAAUUCAGUACAAACAUCAGGACUGCUCAUAGACACUGGUAAAGAAGACAAUGAGUCCACAUUAGACACAACUGGAUUCUUAAGAGAAAAUAAACGAGAUUAAUAACUAAAGAUUGACUAGGCUUUGUUUUAAUAGGCCUGGAUGUGGAUAUGUCAUUGUUCAGCAGAUACAGAUUUCCAACAUCUUCACCAAAAAUCUGCUUCUUCAACAUUGAAUGGUCCUGUAUAUGAAACAACCAUUUUUUUGUAAUAAGAACUCCUAGAUCAGUUUUAUCAACAAAUUAGCUGACUGAAACAAAAUUUCAUUUGAAAGAAGGAACAUAGUAGACAUUUAGUAAGACAAUACGAGAGGUUAGAACCACAUCACCCAUAUUCCUAAUAGUGACCUUAAAAGAGUUAGGCAAAGUGACAGAAACAGGGUUAGGAAGUAAUUUGAAAUUGUGAAACAAAGAUUUGUCAAAAGUCAUAUGAUGAGAGGCCCUUAAAUCUAUUAUCCAGGGGGUUAGAUUUAAAAAUUGAAAUACAAGAUGUGCGAUCUUUUAAAAUGUUAGAGAUACUAGCCAUGUUUGCACUGUGUUGUUCUUCUGUUCCAGUCCUAGAUUUGAGUGCUUGAAACAUUUCAAUCAAUUGUUGGCACUGGCACGUUGUAAAAGCUUCAAUGUUGAAAAUGGAAGACUUGUUGUUUCUAACAAUCCUAUUUGCUGGAAAAGUGUUCAUCAUGCUAGAUUCCUCAUCAUUUCCUAAAAUAGCACCAUUACCCAUACUUUCUCCUGUAUUUGCAACAUUAGCUCUUGCAUUGUUAAAAGGCUUCUUAGAUUUGUUUAUGAAUUUAAAAUUUGGUGGAAAACCUAUUAACCUAUAUCAUAUUUGCCUAGUUAGUAUGUUUGUCCUCUUACAAAAAGUGCAAUACAAAUUGUUAAUUUGGUGGUUCAUAAUUCUGAACAUUUCUGGGAGUGAAGCUUUGUGUGUUUCCUUUGUUUGCAGCAAAAUUCCUUUGCUCAUUCCACUUUAUUGCAUUAAAAGCUGAAGAUUAUGUUGUCACUAAGUUCCCAAAAUGUAUCUCCUUUUGUGAUUCCUCAUGGAGGAUGAUUGAAUAAGCCUUGAUUAGUAGAGGGUAGUGGUUUCAUCAUAAGAAUGUUCCCUCUACAUGUUGAGAAAGCUUCAUUAAGUCCCAUUAGGAACUGUACUAGCUUCAUAUCUUCAUUCAUCUUAUGAUUAUGUUCCUUAACACCACACUUGCAUUCACAGCUACACACCAUAAAUGUAUUGAGCACUUUGAGUUGAUCCCACAGUUUCUUCAGUUUAUUGAAAUAACUUGCAACAUCAAUUGUUCCUUGGGUGAUAUUAUUGAGAUCUCUUUGUAAUUGAAAAAGUUUUGAACCAUCAAGCUAACCAUGCCUCUCUUGGAGAUCAUUCCAUAUAUCUGAAGUUGUUUGUGAAUAAAUCACACUCUCUGCAAUAUCCUUGCUUAGAGAGUUCAAAAGCCAAGCAAUGAUCAUGUCAUUGCACCUUCUCCACUGCUCAAACGGAGAUGAGGUUUCAUCUAGUACUUGUGCCUUUUCAUUGAUAAAGCGUAACUUGGUUUUGGCUAAGAGAGAAAUCAGAACUCCUCUCUUCCAAUUUCCAAAACUGGCUCCAUCAAAAUUAACAUUUAUCAAAUUCAUUCCAGGUGAAUCUGAGGCAUUCAAGUAGUAAGGAUGAGAUGGUGGAAGGAGAUUUGCUUGUCGUUUCUCAGUAGAAGCACUGGAAACAUUACUAGGAGUCGAUUGUGGUGCCAUUUUUUAGAGUUGGUUGAGAUGUGAUUUGAGUUUAUAAGAUUAAGAAAAAAUGAAGGAAGAUUGAAAGAGAAUUUCCCUAAAUUGCUCUGAUACCAUGAAGGAUUUCAAAGAAUCCGAUAAUGAAAAACUCAUAUGGGAAAUUUUCUCUUGUAUUUAUGUAUGAACAAUGUAUACAAAGCUAUGACUAUUUAUACAGUUAUGGUAAGGACUGAAAAUAAUAUCUAUAACUAAUCAGGGACUAAAUACUAGUAUCUAAAAAUAUGUAACAACCUAAAAAACAAAUUUGUACAACUCAUGAAAUUCUAGAAGCAUGUAAAAGAAUCUUGUGCAGAGUACCAUUUAUAUUGUGUGGUCUUGCGUAUACUCCUUGUGCUGAGGAUAGGUGUAUUUGGGCUGUGUUGGAAAUAUUUUGUCUGAUUGAAUUCGAACCCAACUUAUCAGAAAUAGGCCCAAACAAACUCUGAGGCCCAAAACCAUUUUUAUUCCUUAAGGGCAGACCUCGGUCAUUACGAAAUUUAUCUGAUGCGUUUGUGUCGGUAAAGUCAACGAACUCAUCUUCUUCCAAGACAUCAAAUUGUUCUUCUUCCUUGAGAGCUAACGUAGAAAUUAGGGUUCAAUCUGGCUCACUGCCUGCAAAAGUUUUUGAAAACUUCAGAGCAAUAACUAGAUUAGAUGGUGCAGAUGAAGGAAAGAUCAAAUAAAUGAGUACAAUUUUAGGAGAUUCUCUUAUAUAUGAGGAUUCUGUUAGGUUGGUGAUCAAAAGCCAGGAUAUUGAGCUUGAAAAGAUCACCACAAUUUUGACAACCAUAGAUCUCUCAAGCAACGAUUUUGAAGGUGUGAUUCUGAAAGCACUAAAAGAUGUUGGCUCACUUUGGAUACUCAAUUUAUCCCAUAAUAAUCUCAGAGGUGAUAUUCCCAUGGAAAUGGGGCAACUGAAUAUGCUUGAAUUGUUAGAUCUCUAUUGGAAUCAGCUCACAGGAAAGAGUCCACAGGAACUGACAAAACUAAAGUUCCUGGCAAGCUUAAACCUCUCUCAAAAUCUUCUUGUUGGACACAGUCCUCGAGAUUCACAAUUCAACACAUUUGAAAAUAACUCGUAUGGUGGAAACUUUGAUUUAUGUGGUCCUCCUUUAUCAAAGCAUUGUGGAACGAGUGAUCCGUCGCAUGUUCCUCAUCCAUUGGAGUCCGAAGAAGAAGAUGAGUCAUAUUUUGCGAGUGGAUUUACCUAGGAAUCAGAAGUAAUAGGCUACAGUUGUGGACUAGUCAUUGGAACUGUUGUGUGAAGCGUCAUGUUUAAAGCUCGUAAAACAAAAUGGUUAGUGAUAUUUCUUGAAGGCAUUUUUCCCAAGAAAAUGAGAAGGCCAAAGAAGAGAGCUCAAAGACAAUGGACAUAAUGGAAGAUUGAGAGGUUCAAUUUGUCCUUGUAUAGUAAGUAAUGUUGGAAUUAUCCCACGAAUGUGUUUUUGUUUGUUUGUCUAAGUGAACUUUCCCGUUUCUAUUUUUCUCUUUUUAAUUUUCUGUUUGUUGUUUGUAUAUGUCUGAUAUCAACUUAAUUGUAUGUUUUACUUUAGCAUUAAUGGUUAUUCAGUUAAGUUUCUAUC